rnacentral:rRNA from 1 species
UGUGUGUUAGUGGAAGCGUCUGGAAAGGCGCGCGAUACAGGGUGACAGCCCCGUACACAAAAAUGCACAUGCUGUGAGCUCGAUGAGUAGGGCGGGACACGUGGUAUCCUGUCUGAAUAUGGGGGGACCAUCCUCCAAGGCUAAAUACUCCUGACUGACCGAUAGUGAACCAGUACCGUGAGGGAAAGGCGAAAAGAACCCCGGCGAGGGGAGUGAAAAAGAACCUGAAACCGUGUACGUACAAGCAGUGGGAGCACGCUUAGGCGUGUGACUGCGUACCUUUUGUAUAAUGGGUCAGCGACUUAUAUUCUGUAGCAAGGUUAACCGAAUAGGGGAGCCGAAGGGAAACCGAGUCUUAACUGGGCGUUAAGUUGCAGGGUAUAGACCCGAAACCCGGUGAUCUAGCCAUGGGCAGGUUGAAGGUUGGGUAACACUAACUGGAGGACCGAACCGACUAAUGUUGAAAAAUUAGCGGAUGACUUGUGGCUGGGGGUGAAAGGCCAAUCAAACCGGGAGAUAGCUGGUUCUCCCCGAAAGCUAUUUAGGUAGCGCCUCGUGAAUUCAUCUCCGGGGGUAGAGCACUGUUUCGGCAAGGGGGUCAUCCCGACUUACCAACCCGAUGCAAACUGCGAAUACCGGAGAAUGUUAUCACGGGAGACACACGGCGGGUGCUAACGUCCGUCGUGAAGAGGGAAACAACCCAGACCGCCAGCUAAGGUCCCAAAGUCAUGGUUAAGUGGGAAACGAUGUGGGAAGGCCCAGACAGCCAGGAUGUUGGCUUAGAAGCAGCCAUCAUUUAAAGAAAGCGUAAUAGCUCACUGGUCGAGUCGGCCUGCGCGGAAGAUGUAACGGGGCUAAACCAUGCACCGAAGCUGCGGCAGCGACACUAUGUGUUGUUGGGUAGGGGAGCGUUCUGUAAGCCUGUGAAGGUGUGCUGUGAGGCAUGCUGGAGGUAUCAGAAGUGCGAAUGCUGACAUAAGUAACGAUAAAGCGGGUGAAAAGCCCGCUCGCCGGAAGACCAAGGGUUCCUGUCCAACGUUAAUCGGGGCAGGGUGAGUCGACCCCUAAGGCGAGGCCGAAAGGCGUAGUCGAUGGGAAACAGGUUAAUAUUCCUGUACUUGGUGUUACUGCGAAGGGGGGACGGAGAAGGCUAUGUUGGCCGGGCGACGGUUGUCCCGGUUUAAGCGUGUAGGCUGGUUUUCCAGGCAAAUCCGGAAAAUCAAGGCUGAGGCGUGAUGACGAGGCACUACGGUGCUGAAGCAACAAAUGCCCUGCUUCCAGGAAAAGCCUCUAAGCAUCAGGUAACAUCAAAUCGUACCCCAAACCGACACAGGUGGUCAGGUAGAGAAUACCAAGGCGCUUGAGAGAACUCGGGUGAAGGAACUAGGCAAAAUGGUGCCGUAACUUCGGGAGAAGGCACGCUGAUAUGUAGGUGAAGUCCCUCGCGGAUGGAGCUGAAAUCAGUCGAAGAUACCAGCUGGCUGCAACUGUUUAUUAAAAACACAGCACUGUGCAAACACGAAAGUGGACGUAUACGGUGUGACGCCUGCCCGGUGCCGGAAGGUUAAUU